ACCGAGAGAAAAGCACAGAGAGAGUGAGGAGAGGACCGAGAACAAAUAAGCGCCAGUGAGAGAGAACAACAAGUGAAAGUGACCAUGUCCACCACUAUGGCCGUCCCGGCGACCCCUCCUGUCCUCUCACCCGGCUCAGGAGCACCUUCUUCCUUGGGAAUAUUCCGCUCAGACCCGAUCUACACCGCCACAACCACCAGCCCUCAUCCAGACUCCCCCUCCCCGCGGCUCACCACCACCGGACUCAACCCCUUCCUAACCGGGUCAGGAGUCCCAUCCGGUGCCUUGGGAUUCGCCAACACACCGGUUUUUCGAGAUCGAGGAAUUUCCACCACUACAACUACAACCACAACCAGUGAGUGCAGAAUGGUGGAUGUACACGGAGUAAAAGUCGCCUCUUUCAGCGUCGGAGGACAGGACGACUUGAUUUGUCUACCCCAAGUUUUUGACCUCUUUCUAAAACAUCUCGUCGGCGGGCUUCAUACCGUUUACACCAAGCUGAAACGCCUGGAUAUUUGUCCGGUUGUGUGUACUGUGUCGCAGGUCCGGGUCCUGAGGGGUCUCGGUGCGAUCCAACCGGGAGUCAACCGCUGCAAGCUCAUCUCCAGGCGAGACUUCGAGGCGCUCUACACUGAUUGCACCAUUGCGAGCUCUCGUCCGGGCCGGCCUCCAAAGCACUCUGUUGGGGGUGGGAUUCGGGAAAGCUCUGGGCAUCUCCAUCCUGGGGUUCACGGCCUGCUGUCACCUGGCAUGCUCUCUCACAAAGGCGGGAGUGAUUCUUCCUGGGAUAAGGAGAGGCUGGUGUCGCCCCUGUCUGGAGGUGGUGGGGUGGGCAGAAUAGGGAUGGGGGGAUGGGGGACUCAACAGAGUCUUAAACUAAAUGACCAGGUGAACUCACUACAGAAACAACUACUGGCCAACCGUCUCCAGGACCUCCCCUUCGUGAUGAUGACCCACCCCUUACUUCCUGUCCGGGUGCCCCCGGCGUCGGUUGCCAUGGCGAUGUCGCAGAUGAACCACCUCAACACCAUCGCUAACAUGGCGGCCGCCGCGCAGAUGCACACAUACACACACCAGGCCCCCAUCGUCAAGGAGCGUGUGUGUGACAGUCCAUCCCCAUCUCCUUCUGUCGACGAUAUACACACACCUCUCUUGUCCCAGCAGUCCUCACAGUCCAGCUCUACAGCAUCCAGCUCACCAGACCGUCUAACUCUCGAUAGAGAUGAAAGACAAAUAUUAGUGAAUAAAAUAGACAGAGUGAAAGGUAACCGUGUCUUGAAUACAACAGACUGCCGAUCUCACGAAGACUCUUCAUUGGCUCUCCCCAUGUCGAAGCCUUCAUUUGAUAGGCUGUCACCAGGCCAGGCCCUGCCGCCUGGCUUCCCUGCUCCCUUCCUGUUUGCUGGUGGAGUUUCCUCUGUUGAGACUCUACUCACCAACAUACAGGGCCUUCUGAAGGUGGCUGUAGAGAAUGCCCGUGUCCAGGACACUCAGAUCCAGGCAGAGAAGAGAGGACUGAAGAUGGAGCUGUACCGAGAGAGAGAGAUGAGAGAGAGUCUGGAGAGACAACUCACCUCUGAGUUACAGAGUAAAGCCUCCAUUCAGAAGCGCUUAAAGAAAGAGAAGAAAGCCAAGAGAAAGCUUCAGGAAGCAUUGGAGUUUGAGUCCAAACGGAGGGAGACGUUGGAGCAUUCUCUCAAACACUCCUCCUUGUUUCCCUCCCCCUCUCCUCCCGACACGCUACACACCAGCAGCAACGGUGAGACUCCUCCUUCCCAGUUGUGUAACCAGCUAUGUGGCAAGGUGUGUAACCAGGUGUGUAACCAGCUAUGUGGCAAGGUGUGUAACCAGGUGUGUAACCAGCUAUGUAACCAGGUGUGUAACCAGGUGUGUAACCAGGUGUGUAACCAGGUAUGUGGCAAGGUGUGUAACCAGCAAUGUGGCCAGGUUGUAACCAGGUGUGUAACCAGGUGUUUAACCAGGUGUGUAACCAGGUGUGUAACCAGGUGUGUAACCAGGUGUUUAACCAGGUGUGUAACCAGGUGUGUAACCAGGUGUGUAACCAGGUGUUUAACCAGGUGUGUAACCAGGUGUUUAACCAGGUGUGUAACCAGGUGUGUAACCAGGUGUGUAACCAGGUGUGUAACCAGGUGAUCACAGUGAAUGCUGUGUCAACGUUUAUUCAGUCUAAUGAGGGUUCUUCUUGACCACAGAUAUAGUUGUACCUGAAGAUUAACCAGAACUGAGUGGAAACCAGGACACUCUGAUUGGUCAAGAUCUAACCUUCAGUUCUGAUGACCUCACCCCGACCCAGUCACGGGAAAACACCAGCCCGUUGUCACGACGACCUAGACAGUGGACCUCCUGGAAAGCCCCCUUUCUCAUCCCCGCUGACUGACUAUCGUACGGCCUCAGAAAUAAACGGAUGAACCAAUGAGAGGAGAGUAAAAAAAAUAUAUAUAUAUAUAUAUUGGAUCAGAGCGACAUCAGUGUUCUGUUCGUUCGUUCCUUCUGAAACUUGGAAUGAUGGGAAGAGAGGAAUGUUGUUGUUUCAUCUCUUCAACUUCAACUACAUCUGUAUAUAUAUAUAUAUUUUUUUGGGGGGGGUUCGCAGCGACAUCUGUCUAUUUCUAUCUCUCUCUCUUUCGCUCUUCCCCUCCAGAAGUGUUUUGUGGGGAAAUAUUGAUUUAGGUCCUUACAUUAGUCCACCAUUCUGUUCCUGACCCCCCGAACUCUAACCCCUUGACCUAUAAGAGUGAGGACUGUUGUGUUGCUGUUUUUGGUUGUUUUGUUUUGUUCCUAUAAUUGUAUCGCGGUCGAGAGACUGAAUUGAGGACGAUGAAGAAAAGGCCGUGUGGAUAACAAGCAGUCGGCUCCGUCCCAAACAGAAGCCUUUUCGUCUCUGCUUUGGUCGCCAUGGCGAAAGAUUAAAACUCGCCAGUCACGGAGAAAAGGGUCCUUCUACUUGUAAAUAGUGUUUGUGACUAGUAGGAUGCCAUUUGAGACUCUGAGUGGUUUUACUCUUUGACUGUAUGGAGACCUGACGACAAAUACAUUAUUAUAAUACCA